UACGAGUACCCCAAGCGUUAUCCGGAAUCAUUGGGCGUAAAGGGUGUGUAGGUGGUUUUGUUAGUCUUUUGUAAAAAGCCCGGGCUUAACUCGGGACCUGCAGGGGAAACGGCAAGACUAGAGGAUGCGAGAGGUGAAUGGAACUCAUGGAGUAGGGGUGAAAUCCGUUGAUAUCAUGGGGAACACCAAAAGCGAAGGCAAUUCACUGGCGCAUUCCUGACACUGAAACACGAAAGCGUGGGUAGCGAACGGG
rnacentral:rRNA from 1 species